GAUGGUGAGAAGGAGAAGAGAUUAGCAAUGAACUGUAGGAAAGGUUCCACCUCAUAAUUCCCCUACGGGGCUGUGUAGUUAGUCUCUUUAUCACAUUCACCUCCAUAGUUCUUUUACUCACUGUGGGCGUGUUUCAGUGUUUCUGCUUUGAAAUAAAAGAGAAAGUGGAAGAGAGAAGAGUCCAAAAAUGGGCUAAUUCAAUACCAUUUAUGGGCUCCAUAAAAAAGGGGCCUUGCGGGGCCUUUGCUUCUUUUUUUUUUGAACUUACCGAUUCAAAGCCGGCGUCGUCUCAACGAAAGCAAUCCUUUCCAACGGUCAAAAUAUUUCAUUUCUAUCAAGCAAACCAAACUGUGUAUAUAAACGAAGAAAGGAAACCCCUUUCUUCAUUUUUCGCUCAUGCCUCUCUAUCUGGGUUUUCAAAAUCCUCUCUCUCUUAAACAAAAGCCCUAAGAAAGAUCGUUCAUCAAGUUUCACUUCUAAGGAUUAUCUUGAGAAAGAAACUUCAAUUCAGGUCAUGAACAUUAUUUAUCCUUUUUAUCGCAUUUAUCUUAUGUCUCGCCUUAUGAAUUAUAAAAUAUUCUUGGUCAAUAAUUGCUAAAAUUAUCCUAGGUUUAGUCUUUUUUCUCUCUAUUUUCAUAUUUUUUUUAGAAUUUGGAAAAUGGGGUUAUGUAUGCUUUCUUUUUUCCUUCUUUGUAUGGUUGUAGACCUACUUUUGCAGACACAUGGCACCUCGGUUCAGCCAAGCAUUCAGGCAAUAUUUUUAUGAAUGCGUUGGGCAAAGAAAGAGUCAAAAGUGGAGAAAGACUGAUGCUUGGAAUAGCUUAAUACAGAUAAAACAAAGUAGGCAUCUGAGAUUAACGUGGAUGUCUGGGCUAGCUUGUGCACACCUCGACUAAUCCCACGGGCCCUAAAGUUAAGGACCAUGUAAGCCUCCAGUGGCUCUGAGGUUUGUCUCGAAUUGGUAAUAAUCUCUGGGAAGCAAACCCAGAGCUUAAUCAGUUGAGCUACACCCCUUAGGAUUAAGAUCAUGUUGGGUAUUCUUGUUAAGAUACAUGGUUGUUAUUACUGUUUUCUUUUUGUUGACACCAUCAUACCUAGUGAAGCUAGUUUCUUUAUCAUAUUGAGCUGCAUAGUUUCAUGUUGCUCUCCCUCCAUUUGUCUUAUUGUCUCUGCUUUGAGAGGGAAGAGUACGAGCAUGGAUUAUUGAGAGGGAUUAAUAUAGGAGGAAUGGUUUGCUUAAUUGCAGAAUCAAGUUUUUCUAUUGUUAUUGGAGAUUUUUAUUUACUGGUAUACAGCUCACUUAUAAAAUCUCUCUCUAAAUUUUUUAAUAAUCACUAUUUUUUAGUUUCUUGAAUGAUAGUUAUUAACUAGGAGAGUGAAGUGCCCGUAAGAUUAGCCCCGGGGAUAAAUGAAGUCUAGAAGAUUGACUUUUUUAAGUAUCUAUCCAUAAGACCACUGGGCUUAAUUCUUGAAGAGUUCAAAUGUAGUUAGUGUUUUUCUUUCAGUGUUGAUGAGUCAAUUGGAAAGUUAGUGCUGCAUUCUCCAAGUCAAUAGAUCUUCAUAUGAGGUAAGGCUAUUUCGAUGAUCAUGGCCAGUUUAUAUGCCCUUUAAUUUCAUAUAAUUGAUCCUUAGGUAAUUCAAUUCUUGUGAAGUAGCAAGAUUGUUGUUUCUCUCUUGGUUUCCUACACUCUACAUAAAAUGGAGGUAGGAUGGCAUUGAUGGAACUAGGAUAAUGCUAACUUGGAUGGGUUUCAUGUAGUCUAUGCUUUUUUGCUUCAACCAAGUCAAUUAUUUGAAAUUAGUCGUUGUCCUGGGCUACAUGGUUUCAAUCAAGUAUGAUGAGCCAUUGAAACAAAUGGAGAGAUUCGCGCAGUGUUGGAAGCUUUCAACAUGUAGCCUGGCAUGAAAUGGGCUCCUGCUAGCAUAUGUAAGCACGCCUCGUUGACAGAAAUAUGGCUGAGAAGGAUGCAAAGGCUCUUUAUAAAGCAGGUGAGAAGAGAUUGGGAACUGAUGAGAAGACUUUCAUCCGCGUAUUCAGUGAACGAAGUGCAGCACAUUUGGCUGCUGUUGAUUCUGCCUAUCACAACAUGUAUGGAAACUCUCUGAAAAAGGCUAUAAAGAAGGAAACUUCAGGACAUUUUGAGCAUGCUUUGAAGACAAUUUUACAAUGCUCAGAGAAUCCGGCAAAGUACUUUGUCAAGGUGAAGUAUGGGAUGCAGGCAAUCCAUGUUGUGAAGGCACAUUAAAUAUUAUGGUUUCAUUAAAUUGUUUAUUUGAUGUGGUAAAACAAUAACGAUGUUUAAAAAAAAAGGAAAAGUAAAGACAUUUCUUUUGUUUUACACUAAAAUAUCUUUAAAAAAAGAUUCUGAGUUAUUUUCUUUCACUUUAUAUUUAAAAUUACUUAACAAGCACGUAUAAAUUAUAUAAAAAACCUUAAUUGAUCAUGGACAACAAAUGAUAGAUGGAAUUGUAUAUGUGAAAAAUUUGAUAAAAUAAAAGGUUUUGGAUUAUUAAAUAAAUUAUAUGCUAAAUAAAAUAUGUUAACAAAAGCAAGUACUCUUAUUCCAUGCUUAAACUAAUCUCAUUAUUUGAUGGAGGUUGACCGGUCCCUUGAUCAUCAGCAUCAUAUUUUUUAUCCUCUUCAAACUCGCCAUAUGCAGCUAAACGAGAUCUCAACAACUCAAGCUCUUGAUCUUUAAUUGCCACAAUCUUUUUAAGUUCUUCCACCUCCUUCUUCAAAAUAACAAUGAGUAAUUAACUGUUAUUUGAUUAGUAAACACUAAUUAUUCUUAUUUAAAAAUCAAAAUUAGGAGUUUCAUGAAUUUCAAUUUCAUUUUUCACUUCAAAAUAUACAGAGGUAAUUUAACUAAUUUCCUGAUAUUAAUUGAUAAGAGUUUGUGUAUUUUAGUAUUAUUUAAGAUUACUUUUGUGAGAUACAUGUAAAGUAUUUUAACUUUUUUAAUUUAACAAGUUAAAAAAUCUUUAUAAGGGUAAAAAUAUUGUUCACCCAGUAUUCAAAAAAGGAGAAAAAUAUGUAUGGCUUUACAAUAAAGCAAGGCUAAAUUGUUAAGUUCAAUUAAUAUGCUUACAAGGGAGUGAAGAUAAGUCACUAGGAUAGAAAUUAAACUUCUCAUUCUUAUUUAUAAAUUUCAAAAGUCACAUUUUUUUAUCAGUCAUAUUUAAGAUUAAUCUUGUGAGAUGACAAUAAAGGGUUAACUGAUUGGUGAUUUAUCAAUCACAUAACUUGGCAUAAAAUGAACACAUUGAAUAACAUAUAUGGUAUACAAAAAUAUUAUGUGGUAAAUUUUAUUUUUGCAUGUAUAGAUUAAUUAAUUAAUCUGCAUGUAUAGAUUAAUUAAUUUUCUGCUUAUACUCCUAUAGUUUAAACUUUUUCAAUAUUAUCCCUCUAGUUUUUAAAAUUAUCAAUGUUACCCAAUCGUUAAAAAGAUUACUGUUUAAAAUUGGUUUUUGAAUUUUUCUUUUUUGGGAAUUUUUUUUAAAUGUUUUUAUGACAUAUAAUACCAUAUAUGGGAAUCUGAAAGGAAGUAAAAGAGAAAUGUAAGGAAAGUUGAAAGUUUUGAUAGCUAUUUAAAAAAAAGGAAAAAAUGGAAACUAUUUAAAAAAAAACUAUAGGGUAAAUUAGAAGGUUUUAAAGUAUUGAGAUGGAAGUAGAACAUACCUCAUUGGGAGUUGACUCUGACAUGUCUGCCAUACCUUUCAAAUAUUUGUCUUUAGCCUGGAUAAAUUGUGUUUUCUCCUCCUUUUUGAUUUUGUUGAAGAUUGCAUGAAACAUAAUUCAAUGUAUUAUUAGAAAUUCAACUAGUAAUCAGUUAAUAAAAGAAAUAUCUAAUAUUAAUAAUUUAUUCCAAAUUUUUCUUAGACACGAAGGCAGCAAUAUUGGCUAGACUCAUUAACAAUCUCAGGAUCAUAAAUGACAAUGAAUAUUUGAGCUAUAAUUAAUAUCAUAAGGACACUUCGGUGAAGUGCCCAUCUACUUCCAAUAAAGAAAGAUUGUGAUUCCUCGUCAAAUUACAAAUAAUACAUGGUAUUUAGCAAGCUAUUGACAUAGUGUAUUAUUUUCUUUUAUUUCUCAAGAAUUGAAGCUCAUACCGGGAUUGAUUUAAUGUAAUUUCAAGUUAGAAAUUGGAUAUGGCACCAUAUAACAUUAAAUGUAUAUCAAAGUUAAAUGCAUCUUUUCGUUUCAUGUCAGAAAUAGAGAAUUACUAUGAAUUUUGUUUCUCACGACGACUUGAGGUUUGCCGGAGACAUAGAAUUAGUAUAACCUCUUAACCAUCAUCUAACCGUUUUAAAUUAAAUUACAUCCAAUUAAAAUCACUUUAUUAAUAAAAUGAAGAAAACAAAAUGAAAACAUUCAAAUGGAAUUUCCAAAAUAAUGAAUUAAACAAACAUAUAUAAAUUGAAAUAAUCUGGUUUGUUAUUUUAUUCUGACACCUAAAAAAAUGAGAAGGAUUUUUGGUAUACUUACCGGUGUCAAUUCCAAACGCAUAAGAACGGUGCUGUCAUCAAAUUCUUUAAACUCGUACUGUUCACUCAAACCAAGAUGUAGCAUAAGAAAGCAGACAUGGGUGAGCAACUCUCCACCUCUUCUCAGUUGUUGAGUAUGUUCUUUCCAUGGACAAUGAGCGGCUGCAUAAACAAGCAUUUCUAUCCAAACUUCAUUUAUCAUCUCCCAUCGCUUCUCAGGUCCCAAUUGCAGCAAUUGGUUGGCGAGCCUUUCCACACCACUUAACACUGACUUUUGUGUUUUCCAGAGACGUUGUAACGUUAUCUCAUCACAACCACGUGAUUUAUUGUAGCCCAUAAUUAAAUCAACAACAUCAUCGGUACCACGAUCUUUUAGUCUCCGCAAGCCUCCCAAAGUUUCUAGAUAUCCCUCAUCUUCGAAUCCUUUGGAGAGCAUAUUUGGUCUUAUCACCAAAAGAUACAUCAUGUAUUCAGAUAGGCAUCUGCUUGUUUCAUAUUCUGAGGAGACAUUGCUUCCAUCUUUUACAUAACAAAUAUCUGUUGCGAGAUGCCAUACAAGAAUGCUCCGACUGAAUUCUACUUCAGUCGUGCACCACUUGUACUCCUUUAACAGUCUCUCUCUUUCUAGCACACCAUCUCCCCUCUGACCUAUUAUUUUACUUCUGAAAUUCUUAUCAAUGAAAUUAAAAUUUUCCUUCAGAUUCUCAGCUUUCUUUUGAAGAUGUUCGAAAAUAAAACGUUUUAGUCCAACAUUCAAAUAUUUCCGAUUCACAUGCAUCUGCCUCAUCAUUUCAUCGAUUCCCAGCAAUUCCAAGCAUUUAGGUUGCUCGCUUUCAAAGGAAGAGCUUAUCAGGUUAUACUGUGAUAUGGAUCUCGACCACCUCUCGCUUCUAGUUAACUUCCUUAGCUGAGAAUAAAUUGCAGUAGUCAGGGCGUUCCCUCCUUUAUCAAUCAACCAAAUCAUUGUCCAGUCAGACAAAACAAGGCAUAAAAAAGCAUACAACUCGAGAAAAACUGCGGCCCCAAACAAUAAAUACGUGAUUGUAAUGUCGGUCAUUGAGUAGGCAUGCUUGCCAAUCUUGAGGAAAGCAAUAAAAGCAGAAACAGAGAGCAGAAAGCUGAUCGAGCGAAGAACGAUUCCGGCACGGGAGUAAAUCAGAGGCGCUUUAGUAUAAAGCAUAUCAGAUAUCAAUCCAAGCUCAACCUCUACCACCUUGAAGGCACCGUCUACUGAGAUUCUAGAAAUCAGCAACUGGCUCAGCAUUAGAUCUAUAGUGCUAGUGACAAGAUCCUGCAUCAUAUACUUGGAUAUAUAAAAAAAAGUACAAGCUUGACGAAGAUAUUCUCUCUGUAGAUCAUCUUGGUUCCCAGCUAUUUCUGUUAUUCUCAGAUCAAUAGAACGACGCCAAAAAUCUGAGAGAGAGGAGUUUUUCAAACUCUUGGAGCAUGAAGACCAGAGCACCCAAGUCCUCUCUGCGUACUUUACAACGCCAGCAAUGAACAUUGGGAUCGCUAUGAAUGUGAGGAUACCGCUAGGCCAAGACCUUGAGAAGACAUAAAGAGCCACUCCGACUUGAACUACGAGACCAAGUAAAUGCCUUAACCACAACUCGUUAUCUUCAAUCGAGUAUGCAGUGAUUGUGUCUGGGCCACCAAGGUGCAGGAGUAGAAAAGGUGCCCAAAAUGUCUGGAUGGAAUUGUUUGCUUUCUCUGAACUGUCACCUGAUGAAUCUCCUUGGCUCCUGGCUAGAUUACCCAGUGCAACAGUUGCCACCAUGUCUGCUGAUAGAUAUGCAGACCAAACGAGAAUCCUGAUCCAGAUUCUGCCAGUGGUCUUUCGCCGAGACCCAAAUAUGAUGAGGAUGGUUUGUAGUAAGAGACUAAGCAAAACCAUUCCUCGAAUCUCCCAAUUGUUCCAUAAAUUUAAGACUUCUUCAGGCAAUUUUUUAAGCAUUGUCAUCUUUCCUCAACCGUGGAAACUAGUUCUCUCGAUGAACCCCAGAAGAAAC